rnacentral:lncRNA from 1 species
UUAAAAAUCAGGUUAUGUGUUAGAACUUGCUUUAGUUAUAUUGUGGUUUUCUUUUUUACUUACCUGUAUCGGAAUUUGAAUUCAGAAAAUUCCAGUUAGAUGUAGUAUACGUGAGAAAGUAUAUGCCACACAAUCAUUUCAUAACAAACAAGUGCACCAAAAAAAUCCAGAGCCUUUAGCUUAUUCAUCUCAGAGGGGAUGCCCUGCAACUUUUAGUAGCCUUUUUCUUGAAGCAGAUUGUGAUGCUGCAUUCAAAACCCAUAAGAAUUCAGUGGACCAUUUGCAGAGAAUUCAAUUGCUGAAGUUUGAAACAGAGUGCCCUGUUAUGAAAAAUAUAAAUGAUUUUGGAAAUCAAAUAUUGAAACAAUUAACAAUUGCUCUUAUGUUUUGAAAAGUAGAAAUGCUAGUACUAUUGGUGAAAUAGUGUAUCACAAGUGCAACAGGUGUACCCACAUCAAGUGAGCACUAAUUUGAUUAUUGAGUGUAAAGGUAUUCAGAUUGGGUACAGAUAUGCUACAUGGAUAUGGUACAGCUGAGCCUAUAUUUCAAAAAUUAACAUAAAUAUUAACCCUAUAUAAGUGCAAUUUGAUAAAAGCUUUGGAUAAUGCUUUGAGUUAUAUGUGAAACAAUGAAGUCACAAGACAUUCUAGAGAGUAUUUUUCUAAUGCCUGCAGCCAUAAUUUAAAAAAAUGGGCUUACUGUUUUAGAAAAGAAGCUAGCAUUACCACAAAUAUGCAUAUGGACUUGAUGCAUAAAGUAAUUAAGUAUUUCUACUUGGAAACAAAGGCAGUAAAAUGCCUUCAUAAGGGUUUAAACAUGGUAUUGAAAUAUGUAAGAGACAAGAUUGGUGAACGAAUUAUUACAUUGAGCAAGGGUGAACAUUCCAAACAAACAAGACUGAUAUCUCAGAAUCACAAGGAGGCUAUUAAAAAUAGCAAUGAGCAUACAAUUUUUAAAAUUGGUAAUAACUGGAAAAUUUCCAAAAAUCAGAAUAGUUCAUAUACUAUCCACCAGAUAUUAGAAUCGAAAUGCUGUGAACAAUUAUGUUUGUUCUGUGAGGCACGUAAUCAUAAGAUUUUAUGUGAGUGCAAAUUCUAUAGAGAAAGAAAAAUUAUGUGCAAUUGAUAAUGAAAUUAGAAAGUUUAGAUUUUCAUCAGCUUGGUGAUGACACUAUCAAUAAAAUACAUCAGUAUUCAUCCAUAAUAAAUAACUUAUCUAAAUGUACAAAAUUGAUAGAAACGGAUAAUGAAUUGAAACCCAAAAAUAAAUCCUCUAAAAGAUACAUUGAUCCACAAAUUAGGUUCACAUCAACGAAAAAGAAACGCGAUCAGAAAAAAACAUUUCAUUGGGCCUCCCCACAAGAACUGACAACAAUUCAAGAAAACCUAUCACACGCCCUUGUAGAUGUAUUUUUUUACAAAGCAGUUCAACCUAUAAGUGACCACCAAUAUCGUUGAUUAUCACCAUUUCGAUAUUUAUGUUUUUUUGUUUGGCGAUAAACUCUUGUUUUUAGAAAAUUGUUUUUAUUAGCAUAGUUCCUGAGUUACAUUUUGAAUUUCCCGUGAAAUACGAACUGGCUACACUUGGCAACGUUGGUGCGGACUGGGUGGUUUAGCCCGAGAAUACCUACCACAGAGAAGCGACAAAGACGGCCAUUUUGUGUCCCUUUUUCGUAGACGCAUGCGUCGACUUGGUUGUCCCACGUCAUUCUCGGGCUUAGUUAUCUCCAUUAGUCUGUGAGCACUGAGCAAACAUAAUGAGGUAGGUAAUUAGUUACAAAAGGUACCUACCUAACUCGGUAUACAUUAAAUUUAUGCUAUUUAAGCAAGAGUUUUCAGGAGAUAAUUGGUUUUGAAGAAUACAUCGUGAGAGAAACAGUAGAAAAUUCAGUGAUAUUUAAGGCACUUGAAAUUAAAAUUAAAACAAUGCUCGAAUAGGACAAGCGAUGUGUGAUAUCUAUAGAUGAGAUGGCUUUAAAAUCCAAUAUUUUUUUUGAUACAGGAUGUGAUGAAAUUAUUGGUUUCGAAGAU